CAUGCACCGAAGCUGCGGCAGCGACACUGUGUGUUGUUGGGUAGGGGAGCGUUCUGUAAGCCUGUGAAGGUGUGUCGUGAGGCAUGCUGGAGGUAUCAGAAGUGCGAAUGCUGACAUAAGUAACGAUAAAGCGGGUGAAAAGCCCGCUCGCCGGAAGACCAAGGGUUCCUGUCCAACGUUAAUCGGGGCAGGGUGAGUCGACCCCUAAGGCGAGGCCGAAAGGCGUAGUCGAUGGGAAACGGGUUAAUAUUCCCGUACUUGGUGUUACUGCGAAGGGGGGACGGAGAAGGCUAUGUUGGCCGGGCGACGGUUGUCCCGGUUUAAGCGUGUAGGUGUGUGUUCCAGGUAAAUCCGGUUCACUUUAACACUGAGGCGUGACGACGAGGCACUACGGUGCUGAAGCAACAAAUGCCCUGCUUCCAGGAAAAGCCUCUAAGCAUCAGGUAACAUCAAAUCGUACCCCAAACCGACACAGGUGGUCAGGUAGAGAAUACCAAGGCGCUUGAGAGAACUCGGGUGAAGGAACUAGGCAAAAUGGUGCCGUAACUUCGGGAGAAGGCACGCUGACACGUAGGUGAAGUGAUUUACUCAUGGAGCUGAAGUCAGUCGAAGAUACCAGCUGGCUGCAACUGUUUAUUAAAAACACAGCACUGUGCAAACACGAAAGUGGACGUAUACGGUGUGACGCCUGCCCGGUGCCGGAAGGUUAAUUGAUGGGGUCAGCGCAAGCGAAGCUCCUGAUCGAAGCCCCGGUAAACGGCGGCCGUAACUAUAACGGUCCUAAGGUAGCGAAAUUCCUUGUCGGGUAAGUUCCGACCUGCACGAAUGGCGUAAUGAUGGCCAGGCUGUCUCCACCCGAGACUCAGUGAAAUUGAACUCGCUGUGAAGAUGCAGUGUACCCGCGGCAAGACGGAAAGACCCCGUGAACCUUUACUAUAGCUUGACACUGAACAUUGAGCCUUGAUGUGUAGGAUAGGUGGGAGGCUUUGAAGUGUGGACGCCAGUCUGCAUGGAGCCGACCUUGAAAUACCACCCUUUAAUGUUUGAUGUUCUAACGUGGACCCGUUACCCGGGUUGCGGACAGUGUCUGGUGGGUAGUUUGACUGGGGCGGUCUCCUCCUAAAGAGUAACGGAGGAGCACGAAGGUUGGCUAAUCCUGGUCGGACAUCAGGAGGUUAGUGCAAUGGCAUAAGCCAGCUUGACUGCGAGCGUGACGGCGCGAGCAGGUGCGAAAGCAGGUCAUAGUGAUCCGGUGGUUCUGAAUGGAAGGGCCAUCGCUCAACGGAUAAAAGGUACUCCGGGGAUAACAGGCUGAUACCGCCCAAGAGUUCAUAUCGACGGCGGUGUUUGGCACCUCGAUGUCGGCUCAUCACAUCCUGGGGCUGAAGUAGGUCCCAAGGGUAUGGCUGUUCGCCAUUUAAAGUGGUACGCGAGCUGGGUUUAGAACGUCGUGAGACAGUUCGGUCCCUAUCUGCCGUGGGCGCUGGAGAACUGAGGGGGGCUGCUCCUAGUACGAGAGGACCGGAGUGGACGCAUCACUGGUGUUCGGGUUGUCAUGCCAAUGGCACUGCCCGGUAGCUAAAUGCGGAAGAGAUAAGUGCUGAAAGCAUCUAAGCACGAAACUUGCCCCGAGAUGAGUUCUCCCU
rnacentral:rRNA from 1 species